rnacentral:rRNA from 1 species
AACGAACGCUGGCGGCAUGCCUAACACAUGCAAGUCGAACGAGACCUUCGGGUCUAGUGGCGCACGGGUGCGUAACGCGUGGGAACCUGCCCUUAGGUUCGGAAUAACUCCCCGAAAGGGGUGCUAAUACCAGAUAAUGUCUUCGGACCAAAGAUUUAUCGCCUUUGGAUGGGCCCGCGUUGGAUUAGCUAGUUGGUAGGGUAAAAGCCUACCAAGGCGACGAUCCAUAGCUGGUCUGAGAGGACGAUCAGCCACACUGGGACUGAGACACGGCCCAGACUCCUACGGGAGGCAGCAGUGGGGAAUAUUGGACAAUGGGCGAAAGCCUGAUCCAGCAAUGCCGCGUGAGUGAUGAAGGCCUUAGGGUUGUAAAGCUCUUUUACCCGGGAUGAUAAUGACAGUACCGGGAGAAUAAGCUCCGGCUAACUCCGUG